ACGGGGGGGGCAAGCGUUGUUCGGAAUUACUGGGCGUAAAGGGCGCGUAGGCGGUUUGCUAAGUUGAAUGUGAAAACUCUGGGCUUAACCCAGAGCCUGCAUUCAAUACUGGCAGGCUAGAGUUCUGGAGGGGAUAGCGGAAUUCCUGGUGUAGCGGUGAAAUGCGUAGAUAUCGGGAGGAACAUCAGUGGCGAAGGCGGCUAUCUGGACUAACACUGACACUGAGACUCGAAAGCGUGGGGAGCAAACAGGA
rnacentral:rRNA from 1 species